rnacentral:lncRNA from 1 species
CCAAUAGGAGAACGGGCUGUUCCGGGUGGGCGGGGCUUGGCGGUAAGCUGGGCCUAUAGGAGAACACGCUGCCCCGGGGUGGGUGGAGCCUAUGGGAGAACGGGCUGCUCCAGGUCCCCCACCCCCAGACGUCGGCGAUGUCACCCUGAGCCCCCCCCACGCUCUGCCCCACGGCGCUAUGGGGUGCCCCACAACCGCCGCCGUUGAACUGAAGCUGAAAGGAGCCCCCCCACCCCCGACCCCCCCCAGCCCCACAUUUGGGGACCCUGAGCCCCACAGAUGCCACGUGUGGGGCUGGAGGGGUGGGGAAGGGAAAUGUGUGGGGCAGACCCCGAUGUGUGGGGCUGCAGCUGUGCUCUUUUUGCCCCUAAAUUGCUGUUUUUCACCCCAAAAUAAAGGAUAAAUGGGUUUGAGAGA